AACGAACGGACAAGAGUUACACAAAGCGAAACAGGACAUAGAGAAAUCAGAACAGAUGCUAUUGGACACUGAGACGGUCUUAACACAGACGAGUGACGAAUUGGGGAGAGUACAAAUGGAAAGAGCAAAAUUACAGAAACAGUUUCUACACAUCCAGCAAUACCUCAACUGGACUCAGCCAACUGGGACAUUUGAGAUCAAGACCGAAACACACCCGUCUAUCGAGAUGGUUUUUACAUUCCCGGAUGGCAUUCAGACG